rnacentral:snRNA from 1 species
GUAUGUGAGGGCAAUCGGACUGUGACAUGUGUCACAUCAUUGAUUGCCAGGGUUGAUUCAACUGAUCUGGCUGACUUGGCAGGUGUCCCCUUCCUCCCUCACCACUCCAUGUGCCUCCCUCCUGAAGCCGUGUGCCGGUCAAAGAGCAUGGCCAUCCCCGAUAGAGGAGGACCAGUGUUCAGUCAAGGGUAUACAAGUAGCUGUGCUCCCCUGCUAGAACCUCCAAACAUGCUCUUAACGAUUGGCAGGGGGCUCUGUCUCAUGACUGAGUUCCAGGGCUAGGAAGUAAACAAAAGCAGGCUCUGGAGUCAGUCAGCUCUCUCUCU